UACAACGUCGUAUGCACGUAAUAUCAUUACAAUAUUUUUUGUACGUUCUUUAUAUGCUCUCUGAGUAUAGAGCUAUUUAAAAAGUGUGAUUAAACUUCAGACACAAGAUUAAACGUUCCUUAAAGAUAAAAUAUGUUUAUUUUCAACAAGUCAGAAUAUGGACAUGCUUUUAAGCUUUUAAUGACGUGACAUAGAGUCGCGCGCUUCCACAACUGACGCACCGCGCGCACAGUAUUGACAAGAAAAGAGUUGUGAAACUUUCUAUCCCGUAUGGAGUUAUAACGUGAAAUAAUGACACAGACUGGCUCAUCAUCUCAUCUGCAGCAGAGACUGUUGUAUCAGAAGGACAGCGCGUUUGUUUGAGCCACUUUUCACUUCAACUGUGUCUGACAGGAGAAUUUAGCUUUCUGAGCCGUUGAGUUACCAUGGCAACCGCGUACACAUCAGCUGCUGGAGAGGAGAGGACUCGUCUGACAUUUUUUCUGUUUCUCGUCUGUUAUACCAAAGAAAAGGCCAACAACUGCGACAGAUUUUGAUUUCAGGAGUGUCUUAAAAACCCUCUAAAACAGAAGGGAAGUUCCAAGAAAAUGUCUAAUGGGAGCUGCUGACAGAGAUAGAAAACACAGUUUGUUUAUUUCUAAUAAGGAGCUGGAGGCCCUGAAGAAACAGAUCCAUGAUAUUGUGGAGAAGCAGGCCCAGAUGAGCAAGUGGAGAGCUGUGCUGGAAAUAUUCAGGGGUUGAUGCUCAUAAGUCCAGGGGCAGUUUGUGAAGACAGAUAAUCAGGAGAAGUCAGUUCUAGAUCCUCCCUCCACACCAGACCUCUCUCUCACAAGGAUUGCUGUCUACUAGCAUAUUGUGUUCUCUUCAGACUUCGGGGAAUGCAGAUAUUACUCAGGGACACGAACACUUGAAUAUUGAAAGAAUAGAGAAAGUAAGAUAUAUUAUAUAUAUAUUUUGAUAUAUUUUUGUGGCAGUGUGUACUGGCCAUAAUGCUGUAUGAUAGGUGUGAGAUUCAUUAAACUUGAUUUGGUAUAAUACAUCUGUUCAUAAGCUAUUGGAUAUUAAUUUCAAUUAAUUAUUUAUAGUGGUUUGGUUAAGGGUGUGAUUAGCUGAUGUAUUAUUGGGGGAGCUUGUGAUUAGUUGAUGAAUGUGUGCAUUGCUAAUGAUAAUAUUUAAAUGCAAUGUGCUGAGUGCUUACUAAGACUUGCAUGUUUGUGCAUAAUGUUUUGACCCUGGAUGCUUACAGAAGGGUAUAGAUAUUUAAAUAUAUGGAAAUGUAUUUAUUAUUAAUAUAUCUCAAUCUAUGUGCUUCUGUUUGGGCUGAAUGCUUUUAUUCAUAUGUCGCUGUAUAUCCUGUUUUUAUUAAUAAUCUGG